GGGCGCCGGGCCGGGGUCGUGGGGCGGACGGAGCGCGGAGCCCUGAUCCCUUCCCCCACCCCCGCGCCCCUCCGCUGGUGCCUGCAGGAGGCCGCUCCUCCGGCCCCCAGAGUCCCUGUCCUGGUUUUUCCUUUGGUGCUUUCCCUCUGGCGGGGGUGGCCCCGGCUAACGCGGAAAGGAAAGUCUCCUCGUUCCCCGGCCCCGCGGAUUUGGCGGCUGCGGUCCCUGUCCCCCUGUGGCGGGCGGUCGGACCCCCGCACUGCCCAGGUCCGCUGGGCUCGCGCGGGGACCCCGGCCUCGUCCCCGCAGGGAGGGGACCCCAGGACAGACGCGCGCGCACGCUGUGCAGAGCCACAAGUGGGGAAACCCUCCCCACACCUCGACUAAAUUGUGAAAAAUGCUUUUUAAAAAACCAAACAUUCCUUGUUUCAAGCCAUCCACUUUUCCAUUUAGUCGUUUUCAGGGAGGUUUUGUACAAGGAAUAGUUGUUUGUGCCGCCGAAUUCCAAGGUAGUGUGGUAUACAAGUUGCAUGUUGGGAUCUUGACUAAUUUCUUUGGAAACUGGCUGAACAUACUACUAAUGUAUAGCAGUACCACAAAAACUUGAUUUUUGUGCAUAAGAAUCAAUAGGAAAAUUUGUAUUUCUCUUACGAUGAAAAGUGGUUAAAAAAAUGAAUAUCAUUAGUAUUUCAGUAAAGCUUGGGGGGAGAUAAAUAUUAAAAUCUAAUGAGAAUUAUUGUGGACUUUAAAAGUUGUGUUUCUUGAAUAGUAUGGACCUUUUUAAAAGAAAACCGAAAGGACAGAGAAAAAAGGGCUAGAAAAAAAGUCUAAAAAGCUGUUCAGGUAUGAGUUGGUACCCGAAUUAUAUCUCAAUAAAGUUGUUAGUUACAAAAAAGUUCAAGUCCAGUAAUCUUAAUUCCUAUGUCCAAUAUACAAUCUGGAUUUCCCCAAGAAAUCUAGAUUCAUAACAGAAAAGUUGGAUCUUUAGGUGAUGCAAAGUUGAUGUCAUGUAUCAUACACUAUCAUUGUCAUCUUCAGUUUUUACUUGAAUUUAUUAAUAAAAUACUACCAUUAUUGU
rnacentral:lncRNA from 1 species